UACGUAGGGGGCUAGCGUUGUCCGGAAUCAUUGGGCGUAAAGAGCGUGUAGGCGGCCCGGUAAGUCCGCUGUGAAAGUCGGGGGCUCAACCCUCGAAUGCCGGUGGAUACUGUCGGGCUAGAGUGCGGAAGAGGCGAGUGGAAUUUCUGGUGUAGAGGUGAAAUUCGCAGAUAUCAGAAGGAACAACAGUGGCGAAAGCGGUUCUCUGGACUAUUACUGACACUGAGGUGCGAAAGCGUGGGGAGCAAACAGG
rnacentral:rRNA from 1 species